rnacentral:rRNA from 1 species
UUUUAAUGAGAGUUUGAUCCUGGCUCAGGAUGAACGCUGGCGGCGUGCCUAAUACAUGCAAGUAGAACGCUGAAGCUUGGUGCUUGCACCGAGCGGAUGAGUUGCGAACGGGUGAGUAACGCGUAGGUAACCUGCCUCUUAGCGGGGGAUAACUAUUGGAAACGAUAGCUAAUACCGCAUAAAAGACGAUAUCGCAUGAUAUUGAUUUGAAAGGUGCAAAUGCAUCACUAAGAGAUGGACCUGCGUUGUAUUAG